GAAACACAGCAGCUUUUGGAGGAAGAUGCUGAUUGCCAAGGGGAAGUGAAAUCUGAGCCUUCUGUCAGAAUCUGCAGAUGCAGAAGAGCAGGUCAUUCUUCUGCUGAUAGAGCAUCAGCUCAGCCAAAGCCACUUGAAACAACAGAGAUACAUCUGGGAUCAUCACUGGCCAUUGAAUCCAGCUGCAAUAUGAGGCUUUCCAUCUUUAUAGUGCUUCAAAUAUGGACAAAGCCUUUGCAUGCAGGCCUGGGAGGUGCAGGGGUACUUUGAUUAUCUAAAGAGGGCUGCUGAUCGCUGCAGCCCAUGGCUGAGUCUGUAAUUAAAUGGCACAUGGGCUGAAGGGAUGGCUGCCUCAAGUGACAAGGGCUUGAGGAAGCCUUGGGCUGCCCUCAGAGCCACACGCAUUUCCUUUCUCCCAGCACAAUUUACUCUUCCCUCAUUUG
rnacentral:lncRNA from 12 species